rnacentral:rRNA from 1 species
AUUACGAGCAAUGCUUAAAACCCAAAGGAUUUGACGGUGCCCCAUCCCUCUAGAGGAGCCUGUUCUAUAAUCGAUACCCCCCGCUAUACCUCACCACUCCUAGCUUUCUCAGUCUGUAUACCUCCGUCGAAAGCCUACCAUAUGAAUGCCCCCAGUAGGCAAAAUGAUACCCACCCACACGUCAGGUCAAGGUGCAGCUCACGCAGUGGAAAGCAAUGGGCUACAAUUUCUAAAUUAGAACAAACGAAAGACUGUGUGAAACAACAGUCACGAAGGCGGAUUUAGUAGUAAAAAGAAAAUAGAGUGUUCUUUUUAACCCGGCUCUGGGACGCGUACACACCGCCCGUCACCCUCUUCAAUAUUAUUCUUCUCUUAGUUUAUAACCCCCUUCCCCCCUUUUUAGAAGAGGCAAGUCGUAACAUGGUAAGUGUACUGGAAAGUGCACUUGGUAUACCCCCAAAAUGUAGCUUAACUAAAGCCCCCCGCUUACACCGAGACGACACCUGUUUAAACCAAGUCAUUUUGAGCCCACAAUCUAGCCCGCACCCUCCCUAUAUUACCCACAACUUAUCAAUUCUUUAAUAAAA